rfam:Myotis lucifugus cont2.978, whole genome shotgun sequence.
AGAGGCCCUCUGCGGCCGGGGUGGAAUGCUUGCCUUGUCGCCGUAGCGAUGAAGCAAGCAUUCCGCCAGGCCGCUCACGCUGCCCAC